CCUACGGGUGGCAGCAGUGGGGAAUAUUGGACAAUGGGCGAAAGCCUGAUCCAGCCAUGCCGCGUGUGUGAAGAAGGCCUUCGGGUUGUAAAGCACUUUCAGUGGGGAAGAAAGCCUUGGGGCUAAUACCCUCGAGGAAGGACAUCACCCACAGAAGAAGCACCGGCUAACUCCGUGCCAGCAGCCGCGGUAAUACGGAGGGUGCGAGCGUUAAUCGGAAUUACUGGGCGUAAAGCGCGCGUAGGCGGUCUGAUAAGCCGGUUGUGAAAGCCCCGGGCUCAACCUGGGAACGGCAUCCGGAACUGUCAGGCUAGAGUGCAGGAGAGGAAGGUAGAAUUCCCGGUGUAGCGGUGAAAUGCGUAGAGAUCGGGAGGAAUACCAGUGGCGAAGGCGGCCUUCUGGACUGACACUGACGCUGAGGUGCGAAAGCGCGGGUAGCAAACAGGAUUAGAUACCCCAGUAGUC
rnacentral:rRNA from 1 species